UCUAAUAUGGCAGAAAUAAUGCAUUAAGUUUAAACCUUAAUAAUAAAGAUUUAUCUUUUUUUAGAA
rnacentral:tRNA from 1 species